ACAGUUGACUUAUUAGGUCUAUAUGACAUUUCCUGCAUCACUAUUUACAACAUAAAUCAAUCAAAUAUUGAUCUAAGAGGCGCUCGGAUCCUCAUCGGGAACUCAUCUGAGAGAAAUGCUGCUGACACCACUGAGUGUGCAACAAUCAACACAACUACUAGAGGAGAAAAUAAUACAUUUAACUGUGAAAAUGAACCAAAGUGGGGGCGUUAUGUAACUGUGUAAAAAAACACAUCUGGGUUUGUAAUUCUGUGUGAGGUGACGAUGAAAGGCAGAAAAAAAGAGCCAUUUAAACUGAUUAAAGAGAACAAGACAUGGGAAGACGCCCUGUACCACUGCAGAGAGGAACACAUGGAUCUGGUUUCCAUCCUUGAUAAAGAGACCCAGGGCUGGGUUGGGUUGGAGGCUCAGAAGGCUGACACUCCCUUUGUCUGGCUGGGCCUUCACUACAUCUGUGGCUUCGGCUUCUGGAUCUGGGUCAACGAUCAGUGUGUAUUUUUUGAUCAGUGGGCUCCAGACGAGAUAAGAACAGCAGUCUGUGGCACGAGGGCUGCCAUGAAUACAAGUGGGAACCAUCUGUGGUACAAGAAGUCUGUUUAUGAUAAAUAUAAUUUCAUCUGUGCAGAGUAAGAAGAUCCAUGGAUUGGUUUUGUUUAUUCAGUCAGACAGGUGUCAGUAGUGGCUUGUUGGGUUGUAGCAAACUUUCCUCUAAAUCAAAGGUGAUGG